CCCUGUCGGUCAAUGGGUGACGCGAGCACGCGCAGUAGCAAUCAUCGAAGCCGACCCGCUACCCGAGUCACCAUCCCCAAAGGCUGGGCGGGUGGCUGGGCGCUGCGCCUUAGGGAGGCACGUCUCUGCCCCCCGCUCAGGCGGGCUCGGGAUUGCUGCCCCCAGGCAGUGCCUGGCUGGUGUCACCCCAGGGCUGGGGGGCAGAGCUGGAUUAACACAGGGGCUUUAGGGGCAGCAGCCCAGGGACUCAGGCUAAGGGGCUCCCCGCAAAAAUAAACCCAUAGUUCUAUACAGUUCAGUGGUCACCAACCCUCCAUCACAAGCCACUGGUCGACCCUGGACCCUCUGCCAGUCGAUCGCGAUCUCCGGGCUGCUAAAAGUCCAGUGGCGCAGCAGGGCUCAGGCAGGCUGCCUGCAUGCCAUGGCCCCACACCGCUCCCGGAAGCGGCUGGCUGCGGGCACAUGGCUGCGGCCCCUGUGGGGGAAAAGGCUCCAUGCGCUGCCCUGACCCCAGCGCCAGCCCCACACCUCCCAUUGGCCAGGAACUGCCCUAGGCCAGACUCUCCUUCUGCGCCUAAACUCUCUCCUAAAGCCCGCACCCCUCACCCUCUCCUGCACCCCAACAUUCAGCCCCAGCCUGGAGCCUGCAUCUAAACGCCCUCCUCGAAAGUAACUAAUAUAAGAGCUGUUCUAAGACAUACAAGGCAACAUCAAAAGAUGACCCACUAUGUACAGUGAAGAAGAGCUCUAGAGAACUAGAAUGUGGUACCCAAUCAGACAGCAGGUGGUGGUUUUCUGAGCUACGACUGGAUUCCACUAGAAAUUCCACGGAAAUUGACAUAUUAAAUUACUUCAUGCUGAUCAUGUUAUGGCAAUAAAGAAGAAAUUAAUUAAAGGCUGAACGCUUUGUUAUCUAGAAAGGGUGUUUGAAGCUUGCUAGCAGACCCUUUUAAAUGAAAUGAUUCAUUUCCCAACACUGUGCAGCCGCACAGAGAGAACUGCUCUGCUUCGUCUGGAUCUUAAGCCCCAAGAGUCAGAUGGGCAUGUCAGAGGGAGCAAGAACUACAUAGCAGAGCUUCCUGGAAGAUAUGGGCUUUAAGGAGAUCAAGCAAGAAGUUGAGAACUUCAAGAAGGUGAAUAUGAUCAGCCGGGAGCAGUUCGAUACUCUGACCCCGGAGCCCCCUGUCGAUCCAAACCAGGAAGUCCCCCCUGAACCCGCCAGAUUCCAGCAAGGCUUUUGGCCUACACAAGGACACUGAGAAGACUGAAGACUCCAACAGAGGGGACUGGCUCAGGUUUCAAGGGUGAAACCUGUGUACUUGAACUGCAAUAUCCAGUGGGACAUGGAAAAAACAAUAAAGGGACCCACUGCAGAGGAGAGAACUUGAUAUUGUGAAGAUGACCCAUCACUUUGUUUGUUACAAGAAAGCCUGUUUGGGGUAAUGUGAGUUAUAAAUUCAGCUGCUGACCUUAAAAGUGAGUAUUGGACAGUUCGGGUAACUAGUUUUGCUCUUAUGUUCAUGAUUGUCAUAAAUAAACAGAUCAGGGUUAAGGUCUCUUUUACCUGGAAAGGGUUAACAAGCUCAGUAACCUGAGAAACACCUGACCAGAGGACCAAUCAAGGGACAGGAUAAUUUCAAAUCUUUGUGGAGGGAAGCCUUUGUCUGUGAUAAAGCUGGUAACAUAAUCCAAUCUUAAUAACUAACAUUUAAAUUAAAAUGUGACUAUUUCUUUAGAUUUUUGGGUCAGAUUC